rnacentral:lncRNA from 1 species
GGCAUUUUCGGAGUAGCGACGCCAUUGUCUGGGAGAACUUCGCUUUGGGCCACCUGAGAGAAGCAGCGCUGCCUUAGCAGGGAUUGUGCUGUUCCAGAUAAUACCCUUCUCCCUAUUAAUCCCUGCAUAUUUUUUUGGCUGCCUCUGUGUGUGUUGGUUUCUGAAGAUUCCGAAAAUGCAGGAGUUUUGGUUGUGAGACAGAGAAAAUAUGGGAAGGUUGGAGAGAGAGAGAGUAGUGGAGCUAAUAGAGGGGAAG